AUGGACCACAACAAGGCCCCGGGCCCGGAUAGUUUUCCAGCUGAUUUCUAUCAGAACUUCUAGGAGGUUAUAAAACCGGACCUUCUAGACUUCUUUGGCCACCUCCGUGCUAGGCAACUAGAAUUGUUUCGCCUAAACUUCGUUGAGAUAAUUUUACUACCUAAGGUUAAUGAGGUUGUAAGGAUACAACAAUAUAGACCUAUUUGUCUCCUUAAUGUUAGUUUUAAGAUUUUCACAAAAGUUGGAAUGAUUAGGCUAAACUCAGUGGCUGACCAUGCGGUUCGCCCCUCCCAGACAACAUUCAUGCAGGGUAGAAACAUCCUAGAUGGUGUUGUAAUCCUCCAUGAAACAGUUCAUGAACUGCAUCAAAAAAAGUUGAGUGGGGUAAUACUCGAAAUUGACUUUGAAAAGGCGUAUGAUAAAGUCAAGUGGUCUUUUCUCCAGCAGACUCUCAGAAUGAAAUGCUUCUCUGCAAAGUGGUGCGCUCUGAUCCAUAGCUUCAUUUCUGGAGGGAGUGUGGCCAUUAAAGUCAACGAUGACGUCAGCCACUACUUACAAACGAAUAAAGGAUUGAGACAAGGUGACUUAUUAUGGCCCAUGUUAUUUAAUAUAGUGGCUAAUGUUAGCUAUCAUGAUUGA
rnacentral:rRNA from 1 species